rnacentral:snRNA from 1 species
GGAUGUGAGGGCGAUCUGGCUGCGACAUCUGUCACCCCGUUGAUCGCCAGGGUUGAUUCGGCUGAUCUGGCUGGCGAGGCAGGUGUCCCCUUCCUCCCUCACCGCUCCAUGUGCGUCCCUCCCGAAGCGCGCUCGGUGGAAGAGGACGACCUUCUCCGAUAGAGGAGGACCGUUCUUGGGUCAAGGGUAUACGAGUAGCUGCGCUCCAAACAAGCUCUCAAGAAAUCUAAGACCAAAUACAUGAAGCUCCUUGCUUGAACUCUACUUU